rnacentral:rRNA from 1 species
GAUUGGGACAGUGUACUAGGGGUACCCUAGUAUAUUACGAUGAAAAAGUUUAAGAAAUGAAUCUUUAAUAAGAAAUUAAACUCCGUUCAUCCGUAUGCUCCAUUAGAUAAAAAAGAAGAGAAUACGGAGAAAUAUGAUUGGUGGUACGAGCAGACGUACGAUGGUAAUACCAGAUUCACAACCACGACCAAAUUUAUUGAGAAGCCUAUAGCUGGCACAUCCUGAGGAUCGAUAGCUAGGGAUGAUACUAUUUCAGAAUUAGGUCAAACAGCUUUUAAAGAGGUAUGCAUUUAUAAAUGUGUUUCUUGUUGCUUAGAAAUACUGUUUCAUUUUAUUAUAAUUAAAUUCCUAUUAGUUUAUUGGGGCUUAAUUUUUUGUUUAAUUAAAACAACACAAAUCGCCUAUAUUCAUAAAGAUUUGUUUAUUAAUGACCCUUAUAAUAUAAAGUGGGUUUUUAUAUUCUUAGCCUAUUGUCUUAUUUUACUUACUAAUUUUCCUAUCAGGUUUCUUCAUUUGAUAAUAUCUUUUUUUAUUUUAUUAGCAUUUCAACCAAAGAAAGUAUUUUAUUAUUACAUUAUUUUCUUUGGUUUAGGCCUAAUAAAUUUUGAUUUUCUUUUUUAAACAUUUUUUUUAAUUUGCAAUAAUUUUUAUUAAGUUAAGUUAUGGCUUUUCCUUUUUGACCCAUGUUGUUUAAUCUUGGAAAAGCCUUAAUCAGAAGUUAAAGUCAUUAAUAGAUGUGACUUAAAAGAGAUAUAAAGCAGACAAUAAGGAAUUAGGCUUGGAAACAGCCUCCUUAAUUAAUAACGUAAAAGUUUACUUGAAAAAUAAACUCUCUCUAGAAUUUUAGUGUCUUAAUAAAACUAAAACUCUGACUAAAGCAACGGGGUAGCAGAACAUACUGUAAGCUGUGGUCAGGAAGACAAUGCGAACAUGAGUAAAACAGCUGAACUUAUUCUUAUGGUCUUCAGGUAAUCCAGUCCCUAAAAUCAUAUGAUUGAUGGGGGAGACAUAAACGCAUAUAUGCCAGGAAAACUUUUUUUUUCAAUGAAAUUGAAUUCGAAGAACUGUACCAACUAAUUGAAAUGAGAAAAAGUAAGGGAUAAUUUUUCUUUAGGAACUCGGCAAACAAAUUUAAAACAGAAUUAAAAAGUAUCGGCUGUUUACCAAAAACAUAGCCCCUUGCUAAAGGAACUCUAAAGUAUAGGAGGUGAAGCCUGCCCUAUGGUUGUAUCUGAAAGAAUAACGAAGUAGUUAUUUAUAAAGACAAUUUAAUGGCCGCGGUAUUCCUGACUGUGAAAAUGUAGCGCAAUCAAUCGUCAAUUAAUUGUUGACAAGUAUGAAUGGCGUCACGAGUGCUUGACUGUCUUAAGAAAAACCCCAAUGAAAUUGAAUUCGUAGUUAAGAUGCUACGUAAAUUUGUAAGACGAAAAGACCCUAUUAAGCUUUACUGGAAGCUUAUAUUGUCUUAGUAAAAACUGUAAUAGAUGGGAGAUGUUGUUAAUCAAUUUAAUUUUAUUAUUCUGUAAGUUUAUACCAUACCAAUAAUAUAUAUGAAAGACUAUUUUGCCAUCAAAGAAAGAAUUAGUAUGUUAGACAGUUUGGUUGGGGCGACUCCCUUAAAAAUGAUAACUGAGGGGCACUAAGGUAAUAAAGAAAGAGCUUGACUGUUAGAGGGCCCUCAAACAGACACUAAAGUGGGUAAAUUGAUCCGUUAAUACAAGUGGAAUUGUUAACGAUAAACGAAUAAAAGUUACUAUAGGGAUAACAGCGUAAUAUUGUUAGAGAGUUCACAUUAACAACAAUGUUUGCGACCUCGAUGUUGAAUUGCGGCAUCCUAAGGGUGCAGCAGCUCUUUAAGGUUAGUCUGUUCGACUAUUAAAGCCGUACAUGAUUUGAGUUCAGAACGUGGUAACACAGUUCGGUUUCUAUCUACAACAAACAAAUUCUAAUUAUUUUUUAGUACGAAAGGAACUAAAAUAAAAAUCCUAUGAUUUAUGUCAGAUUGAUGAAAAUAACUGACGGCUUAUCAAGUGUGGAUUAGAUUUGUACAUGUUUUCAAUUGUUUAUAGGACUC